AUUCAAAUAUCUUAUGUUAGAGUAUAACACUGAAGAUGUUAUUGAGAUAUUUAUAUCUUUGAAUA
rnacentral:tRNA from 1 species